GAAGAGAGAGUUCAAGAGUACGUGAAACCAUUAGUAGCUCAUACAGGUGGAACCGUGGAGGUCGAAAGAGGGGUUUCAGCUGGUGGGCAUUCGGCCUGGGGAGCGGUACAAGUUGCAUUACAGCGAGAGGACCCGGUGUGAAAGGUGAGUUGCCGUGGCCCUACUCUCCCGUGGCCCGGGUGCUUGAGGGCUUAAUUCUCCCUUGAGUAGUGGUCGUGGCAACCCGCUGGUAGGACCCCGAGGUCUGCCCCGGACUGGUAGCCUGCACAGCUGUGUAGGUGAUGACAGGCAGUGGCGCCGACUGGGCCUGGGCGGCGGUCACUACAGGUCGCCGAGCUAGAGGGAUCUGUAAUCCACCUGACCCGUCUUUAAACACGGACCAAGGAGUCCAACAUGUGCAUGAGUCUAAGGGUGUGCUAAACCCAGAGGUGAAAUGAAAGUGAGCCCCUGUUGGGCAGGCCGAUCCUCUGCCCGCAUCUGGCCGUGCGUGCCGCCAGUGAGAGAUUUUCUGCUGUGCUGCGGGUGCCAGGCUGGGCGGCCGGCCCUUCACGUGGUUGGUCAAACAGCGGUUGGGGGCGCAGGGCUAAGACUUGCUGUUGUGCGGUGUGGGCCAUGUGGGUGCCCUUGGGCAUCCUGCACUCCGACAUCCGCUGGCAAGUACCUGAGAGUGCAGCCGUUGGGACUGAAAGAUGGUGAACUUUGCCUGGCGAGAACAAAGCCCUAGGAAACUGGUUGAGGUCCGAAGUAGUUCUGACUUUCAAAUAAAAUGGCAGAGCUAGGUAUAGUAGCUGGUUCCCUCCGAAGUUUCCCUCAGGAUAGUUGGCUUUCUUUUUGAUGAGUUUCAUCUGGUAAAGGGAAUGAUUAGAGGCCUUGGUGGUGCAAUGCCGUCAACCUAUUUUUAAACUUUAAAUGGGUGGGAGGUGGAGUUCACUUAACCCAUGAAACUCUGAUGGGGGAAUCAGAGUGCCUAGUGGGCCUACUUGGUAAGCAGAACUGGCGCUG
rnacentral:rRNA from 1 species